GAUGAACGCUCGCGGCGUGCCUAAUACAUGCAAGUCGAGCGAACAGACGAGGAGCUUGCUCCUCUGACGUUAGCGGCGGACGGGUGAGUAACACGUGGAUAACCUACCUAUAAGACUGGGAUAACUUCGGGAAACCGGAGCUAAUACCGGAUAAUAUAUUGAACCGCAUGGUUCAAUAGUGAAAGACGGUUUUGCUGUCACUUAUAGAUGGAUCCGCGCCGCGUUAGCUAGUUGGGAAGGUAACGGCCUACCAAGGCAACGAGUCGUAGCCGACCGGAGAGGGUGAUCGGCCACACGGGAACUGAAACACGGUCCCGACUCCUACGGGAGGCAGCAGAAGGGAACCUUCCGCAAUGGGCGAAAGCCUUACGGAACAACGCCGCGUGAGUUAUGAAGGUCUUCGGAUCGUAAAACUCGGUUAUUAGGGAAAAACAAAUGUGUAAGUAACUAUGCACGUCUUGACGGUACCUAAUCAGAAAGCCACGGCUAACUACGUG
rnacentral:rRNA from 1 species